CGUGAGGUGAACUGAAUUUCAGCCUCUGCUGAGAUCGGCAUUGCCUCGCGGAUUCUGGCUUCAACGCCUUCAUCCAUUUUGUAGCCAAGUGCCUCUGCCAGGAGACGAGUCCUCACAAAACACUCCUUCAGCUGCGUUUUUACGUUUACCACCAGUUUUCCAGGACCUUCUUUGCCACUGCCUUCAACCCCAGCUCUCCUUGGAUUAUCCGAGUAUCCACGCACCCGCUCCAUCCCCGUCGCAACCUGCUAAUUCCCCGUUCACCCCACUGACCCACGGCCACACCAUUAGCAACACUUUGCCACGAAUUCCCCUGUUGACCUAAUAAACAAACGCUGUAAAACGUAUGAGCCAUCUCUGUUAUGGUUAUCUGCGUUUGAGUCCAGUUUAGCUAUCAGCCUCUGGCCAUUGUGACAAAAAGAACGUAGAAGAAGACCAAGAGGCAGCAGAUGCAGAGAAAACGGCAAUGGGCCGAGAACAGAGCCCUGAGGGACCUCAUGCCUCACUGCACAGGUCUCAGAGAGAUCAUUUUUCAAAAUACCAGUCUGAGAUCUCCCAGACAGGUAGGAUCUCAGCCAUGAUAUUAAAUUUCCCGUAACUCUGUU